UCCCCCUGCCUUCUCCUCUCACGUGAUUAGCUGCGGCUCGGAAAGGCCGCUCUGUCAGCUGAUCCGGCCGAGCGAGCGAGCGAGCGCUGGGUCCGGCCUGCCCGCGGCCGCUCCUGCGCCGGGGAACGCCCCACUGCUGCCGGGCUGCCCGGGCCUGGGGUGCUCGCUGAUGCGGGGAUCGAUCGGGGUGGGGAGAGAAGCCUGCGGCCCUUGCCUUCCCUGCGGUCAUGCCGUUAUUUGCUUUGUAGCGCGGCACCGGCGGCACUAGAAGACGAGGGGAGGCCGUUUUGAAGUGAUCUAUAGAUAGGUGCGAGCUUCAAGUGUUCCCACCAAACUGGGGUUCGUUCUGUGCCUCUUAGGUGCAGAGGUGAAAGUAAGCCGAUAGGGCGCAUCGUCAAGAGCCAGUACACAGCCGAGCGUAGCGGCCGGGGGCAGCUUCCCCCGGCUGGCAAUUUAAUAGGGCCCUGGUCUCCGGGCAGUAGCCAGAGCCCCUGGCCCUUACAAUCGCUGUCAGAGCCCCACUGCUGGAGCCCUGCGAUAGCGGCUGGGAGCCUCGGGACUCUGGCGGUGAUUUAAAGGGCCCGGGGCUCCUAGCCACGGCUACUGCAGCCAGAGCACCGCGCCCUUUAAAUUGCUGCCAGAACCCUGCUGCUGGAGCCCCGGGGUAGUGGCUGAGAACCCCAGGGCUCUAGCGACGAUUUAAAGGACCUGGUGCUCCCAGCUGCCGCAGCUGGAGCCCCACGCCCUUUAGAUCGGGAUUUAAAGGUCUUGGGGAUUUAAUGGCCCGGCCUCUUCGGGUUGAGGCCCCGUCCCCCACUGAGGACCCCGGCCCUGUGUACCGCUCUAGCACUCCAGCCAGUCCCAAACUCCCCAGCUAGUCCAGAGAACCUGCCAAUGGAGGAGUUGUGACAUUCUUCUGAGUACCAGGAAAAGAAAACUGGGCCACAUUUUCAGCUGGUGUAAAUCAGUGCAACUCCGUGGACUUCAUUGAAGACAUGCUGACUUAAAACAUCUGAGGAUCUACCCUUAAAAGCUUUGGAAAGGAAAUCAAAUUUUAGGGGUAACAUUGCAAGAUUCCCUUUGUUGCAUCAGAAAUGAGAUCCUCUGGGAUCUCUUCCCCAAUCCCUCCAUUUACUCCCUUCACCAUCCUUUGAUGGCUCCACAUCUCAGUGAGUCUCUCUUCAGCUGAACAGGGCCAGAUGUGGUUCUCUCAGGAGCAUGUUAGCGUCAGAGCAGAUGUUGAACAGUGUCCCUUGAGAAGAAAUCAGCUUAGAACAUGAGAUACUGUUGUGCAACUAAGUAAUGUGUCAAAAUGUUAAUGAACCUUGGACUCCAUUGGACCUUAGUUCCAAUGAUAUCAUUUAUAAGAAAUGACUCCUCUGUAAUACAAAGGUCACUACCCUGCUAAAUCAAACAAUGUUGUUUGGACAGAUUUUUAGUUAGUGAAAUGUACUGCAGACAGUUGGCAUGGUCCAUCAGAGUUAUACAACAUGUAACUGAGGUGAUAUGGUCUUGCCAGUGGAACAUAGAACUUCAAGUCAAGGGAGCAAGUUUCUAAACCCAGCUGUAACACUAAUUCAGUGUAUCUUGGGACAAGUCACUUGAUUUCUCAGUGUCAUCUGUAAAAAGUUUCACAGGGAUGUUGUGAGGUUUAAUCAGUUUGCUUAAUUAAUCAAAGGCUUCAUAAAAUUCUUCAAGAUCCUCUGAUGAAAGAUGCUCUGUAAACAAUACAUUCUUAUUGAUAUGUAGUGCUAUUCAUCCAUAGAUCUUAAAGUGCUUUACAAAGGAAGGUAUAAUUAUCCCAGUUUCACAGAUGGGAAAACGGAGAUAGAGAUAAAUAAUAUAAUUAUUAAUUAUUAUUAUUGUUAUUAUUAUUUAUUAGUCAUCGAUAAGAAUAAACUGGCAGUUUUAGGCAACUUGUUCAUACAGUUUUAGAUAGGAUAAUUAAAGUACUCUGUUAAGAGUGGGUUUCAUGGAUGUUGUAGAGAGAAGUGGAUCAAAACACAAUACUAAGAUCUAACCAAGCGCCAUCAGAUUUUUGGGGAAGAUUUAAUUCUAAUCCAAAAUUUAUGCUCAGGCCUAUCUAUAAAAGUGUCGAUAGAUAUAUUUGUGCAACACAGGUACAAGGGAGGCCUGACCCAAGGUGAAAGUUGGCCUGGUCACCAUGAAGAUGGACAAAGAGGGACACAUGUAAGCAAUCCCUGACCAACUGCUGCACGUUCAUGGCAUUCCAGUUAGGACAGAAGUGACUGCAAAGAGGCUGUGGGGUAGAGAGGACAGCUGCAUUCAAAACAAAGCUUAUGGCUGAUCCAGAGCAGACCAAUCACUGGAGUUGGGUUACUGGCAAAGAGGUCUCCUGAUUGAAAGCUCCCAGACUGGCCCAAAUCUACUCUACAAUGAGCUAUUUAAACCACGGUGACACCUUUCUACAUUGAUCCCACUUUCUGAGGUACUCUGUAGUUCAGUUCUGUAUAGGGUGACCAGACAUCCCGAUAAAACCAUCCCAACUUUUAGCUGUUUGUCCCCCAAAGAUCGGUCAGGACGCACUUUU